CCUACGGGCGGCAGCAGUGAGGAAUAUUGGUCAAUGGCCGUACGGCUGAACCAGCCAAGUCGCGUGAGGGACGACUGCCCUAUGGGUUGUAAACCUCUUUUAUAAGGGAAGAAUAAAUGCUACGUGUAGCAUGAUGCCUGUACCCUAUGAAUAAGCAUCGGCUAAAUCCGUGCCCGCAGCCGCGGUAAUACGGAGGAUGCGAGCGUUAUCCGGGUUUAUUGGGUUUAAAGGGUGAGUAGGCGGUUUUUGAAGUUAGGGGUUAAACGUCGGGGCUUCACAUUUAUUUGCCGUUAAUACUGUAAGACUCGAGUUCAGACGAGGUAGGCGGAAUAAGUUAAGUAGCGGUGAAAUGCUUAGAUAUAACUUAGAACUCCGAUAGCGAAGGCAGCUUACCAGACUGCGACUGACGCUGAAGCACGAGAGCGUGGGUAGCGAACAGGAUUAGAUACCCCUGUAGUC
rnacentral:rRNA from 1 species